rnacentral:rRNA from 1 species
UACAGAGGGUGCUAGCGUUGUUCGGAAUCAUUGGGCGUAAAGGGCGUGUAGGCGGUUUGUUAAGUCAUGUGUGAAAUCCCUCGGCUCAACCGGGGAACGACGCAUGAAACUGGCAAGCUAGAGUACCAAAGAGGGGGGUGGAAUUCCCGGGUGUAGCGGUGAAAUGCGUAGAUAUCCGGAGGAACACCAAAGGCGAAGGCAGUGUCCUGGGGAGUACCUGACGCUCAGGUGCGAAAGCCAGGGGAGCGAACGGG